rnacentral:rRNA from 1 species
AGGUGGCGACCGGCGCACGGGUGAGUAACACGUAUCCAACCUGCCGAUAACUCGGGGAUAGCCUUUCGAAAGAAAGAUUAAUACCCGAUGGCAUAAUAGAAUCGCAUGGUUUGAUUAUUAAAGAAUUUCGGUUAUCGAUGGGGAUGCGUUCCAUUAGGCAGUUGGUGGGGUAACGGCCCACCAAACCUUCGAUGGAUAGGGGUUCUGAGAGGAAGGUCCCCCACAUUGGAACUGAGACACGGUCCAA